rnacentral:misc_RNA from 1 species
AACUUGGAGUUCUUUAAAACACAAGCUGGUAGUUCCAAACUACAGCAAGCCUAAAAAGGAUGUAUUAAGGGCCAAGAGGCCUGGAAAACCUAAAGGAGCACCCCGAUCAUAACCGUUAAUAUGGGGGCCAUGACCAACUGGUAUCUGUGACUGGACAACUGAGAGAAUAGACUUGAUGAAAAGGAAUAUUUAUAAAAGCAAGAGAAAUUGAUUAUUGAAGGGUGGUGUUUUUUUUCUGUUUCAUUCAGCUGUGUUAUUGAUAGGAAUCUGUGACAGGAAAAAUAAAUUUUUAAAUGUUG